rnacentral:rRNA from 1 species
ACUCGAGUGGCGAACGGGUGAGUAACACGUGGGUGAUCUGCCCUGCACUUCGGGAUAAGCCUGGGAAACUGGGUCUAAUACCGGAUAGGAGCCAUUUUUAGUGUGAUGGUUGGAAAGUUUUUUCGGUGUAGGAUGAGCUCGCGGCCUAUCAGCUUGUUGGUGGGGUAAUGGCCUACCAAGGCGGCGACGGGUAGCCGGCCUGAGAGGGUGGACGGCCACAUUGGGACUGAGAUACGGCCCAGACUCCUACGGGAGGCAGCAGUGGGGAAUAUUGCACAAUGGGCGCAGGCCUGAUGCAGCGACGCCGCGUGGGGGAUGACGGCCUUCGGGUUGUAAACUCCUUUCGCUAGGGACGAAGCUUUUUGUGACGGUACCUAGAUAAGAAGCACCGGCUAACUACGUGCCAGCAGCCGCGGUAAUACGUAGGGUGCGAGCGUUGUCCGGAAUUACUGGGCGUAAAGGGCUCGUAGGUGGUUUGUCGCGUCGUCUGUGAAAUUCCGGGGCUUAACUCCGGGCGUGCAGGCGAUACGGGCAUAACUUGGGUAC